rnacentral:tRNA from 1 species
GUGGCUCAGUGGUAGAGUGCUUGCCUUGAGCGCAUGAGGCCCUGGGUUCAAUUCCUCAGC